CAUAGCCUUGUGGUGAAGAACACAUUAGAUUGCAAAUCUAAAGACGCAGACUAACCUCUGCCGGGGCUUUU
rnacentral:tRNA from 1 species